rnacentral:rRNA from 1 species
CCUACGGGAGGCAGCAGUGAGGACUAUUGGUCAAUGGGCGUAAGCCUGAACCAGCCAAGUCGCGUGAGGGAUGAAGGUUCUAUGGAUCGUAAACCUCUUUUAUAAGGGAAUAAAGUGUGGGACGUGUCCUAUUUUGUAUGUACCUUAUGAUUCAGGCUCGGCUAACUCCGUGCCAGCAGCAGCGGUAAUACGGAGGAUCCGAGCGUUAUCCGGAUUUAUUGGGUUUAAGGGGUGCGUAGGCGGCCUUUUAAGUCCGCGGUGAAAGUCUGUGGCUCAACCAUAGAAUUGCCGUUGAAACUGGGGGGCUUGAGUAUGUUUGAGGCAGGCGGAAUGCGUGGUGUAGCGGUGAAAUGCUUAGAUAUCACGCAGAACCCCGAUUGCGAAGGCAGCCUGCCAAGCCAUGACUGACGCUGAUGCACGAAAGCGUGGGGAUCAAACAGGAUUAGAUACCCUUGUAGUC